rnacentral:rRNA from 1 species
AGUGAACGCUGGCGGUAGGCCUAACACAUGCAAGUCGAACGGCAGCACAGUAAGAGCUUGCUCUUACGGGUGGCGAGUGGCGGACGGGUGAGGAAUACAUCGGAACCUACUUUUUCGUGGGGGAUAACGUAGGGAAACUUGCGCUAAUACCGCAUACGACCUACGGGUGAAAGCAGGGGAUCUUCGGACCUUGCGCGAUUGAAUGAGCCGAUGUCGGAUUAGCUAGUUGGCGGGGUAAAGGCCCACCAAGGCGACGAUCCGUAGCUGGUCUGAGAGGAUGAUCAGCCACACUGGAACUGAGACACGGUCCAGACUCCUACGGGAGGCAGCAGUGGGGAAUAUUGGACAAUGGGCGCAAGCCUGAUCCAGCCAUACCGCGUGGGUGAAGAAGGCCUUCGGGUUGUAAAGCCCUUUUGUUGGGAAAGAAAAGCAGCAGGUUAAUACCCCGCUGUUCUGACGGUACCCAAAGAAUAAGCACCGGCUAACUUCGUG